AGAGUUUGAUCCUGGCUCAGGACGAACGCUGGCGGCGCGCUUAACGCAUGCAAGUCGAACGAGAUCCAACCGGUGGCAACACCGGGGAAGAUCUAGUGGCGAACGGGUGAGUAUCACGUGAGGAACCCACCCUGGAGACUGGGAUAACCCUCCGAAAGGAGGGCUAAUACCGGAUACCCUCAUCGGAUCGCAUGACCUGAUGAGGAAAUGGAUUCCGCUCCAGGACGGCCUCGCGGCCUAACAGCUUGUUGGUGGGGUAACGGCCCACCAAGGCGACGACGGGUAGCUGGUCUGAGAGGACGAUCAGCCACACUGGGACUGAGACACGGCCCAGACUCCUACGGGAGGCAGCAGCGGGGAAUAUUGCGCAAUGGGCGAAAGCCUGACGCAGCGACGCCGCGUGGGGGAUGAAGGCUCUCGGGUUGUAAACCCCUUUCAGCAGGGACGAAAUCAGACGGUACCUGCAGAAGAAGCCCCGGCCAACUACGUGCCAGCAGCCGCGGUAACACGUAGGGGGCGAGCGUUGUCCGGAUUCAUUGGGCGUAAAGAGCUCGUAGGCGGUUCGGUAAGUCGGGUGUGAAAACUCUGGGCUCAACCCAGAGACGCCACCCGAUACUGCUGUGACUCGAGUCUGGUAGGGGAGUGUGGAAUUCCCGGUGUAGCGGUGAAAUGCGCAGAUAUCGGGAGGAACACCAGUGGCGAAGGCGGCACUCUGGGCCAGUACUGACGCUGAGGAGCGAAAGCGUGGGGAGCGAACAGGAUAGAUACCCUGGUAGUCCACGCCGUAACGUUGGGCACUAGGUGUGGGUCCUAACCAACGGGAUCCGUGCCGCAGCUAACGCAUUAAGUGCCCCGCCUGGGGAGUACGG
rnacentral:rRNA from 1 species